rnacentral:rRNA from 1 species
UACGUAGGGUGCGAGCGUUAAUCGGAAUUACUGGGCGUAAAGCGUGCGCAGGCGGCUUCGCAAGUCAGGCGUGAAAUCCCCGGGCUUAACCUGGGAAUGGCGUCUGAAACUACGGAGCUGGAGUGUGGCAGAGGGAGGUAGAAUUCCACGUGUAGCGGUGAAAUGCGUAGAUAUGUGGAGGAAUACCGAUGGCGAAGGCAGCCUCCUGGGCCGACACUGACGCUCAUGCACGAAAGCGUGGGGAGCAAACAGG